AACGAACGCUGGCGGCAUGCCUAACACAUGCAAGUCGAACGGGACCUUCGGGUCUAGUGGCGCACGGGUGCGUAACGCGUGGGAACCUGCCUUUAGGUUCGGAAUAACUCAGAGAAAUUUGAGCUAAUACCGGAUGAUGUCUUCGGACCAAAGAUUUAUCGCCUUUAGAUGGGCCCGCGUUGGAUUAGCUAGUUGGUGGGGUAAAGGCCUACCAAGGCGACGAUCCAUAGCUGGUCUGAGAGGAUGAUCAGCCACACUGGGACUGAGACACGGCCCAGACUCCUACGGGAGGCAGCAGUGGGGAAUAUUGGACAAUGGGCGAAAGCCUGAUCCAGCAAUGCCGCGUGAGUGAUGAAGGCCUUAGGGUUGUAAAGCUCUUUUACCCGAGAUGAUAAUGACAGUAUCGGGAGAAUAAGCUCCGGCUAACUCCGUG
rnacentral:rRNA from 1 species